AACGUAGGAGACAAACGUUAUCCGGAGUUACUGGGCGUAAAGGGCGUGUAGGCGGCUUGUUAAGUCUGGCGUGAAAGCUCUCGGCUAAACCGGGAGAGGUCGUUGGAUACUGGCAAACUUGAGGACGGUAGAGGCGUGUGGAAUUCCGGGUGUAGUGGUGAAAUGCGUAGAGAUCCGGAGGAACACCAGUGGCGAAGGCGACACGCUGGGCCGUACCUGACGCUAAAGCGCGACAGCAUGGGGAGCAAACGGG
rnacentral:rRNA from 1 species